GAAGAAAGGACUUACCGAGUUUACACUCCCAAACCCCUCUGUGAACAUACCACUUGUUGCCUCGGCGGAUCAGCCCGCUCCCGGUAAAACGGGACGGCCCGCCAGAGGACCCCUAAACUCUGUUUCUAUAUGUAACUUCUGAGUAAAACCAUAAAUAAAUCAAAACUUUCAACAACGGAUCUCUUGGUUCUGGCAUCGAUGAAGAACGCAGCAAAAUGCGAUAAGUAAUGUGAAUUGCAGAAUUCAGUGAAUCAUCGAAUCUUUGAACGCACAUUGCGCCCGCCAGUAUUCUGGCGGGCAUGCCUGUUCGAGCGUCAUUUCAACCCUCAAGCACAGCUUGGUGUUGGGACUCGCGUUAAUUCGCGUUCCUCAAAUUGAUUGGCGGUCACGUCGAGCUUCCAUAGCGUAGUAGUAAAACCCUCGUUACUGGUAAUCGUCGCGGCCACGCCGUUAAACCCCAACUUCUGAAUGUUGACCUCGGAUCAGGUAGGAAUACCCGCUGAACUUAAGCAUAUCAAUAAGCGGAAGAAUCA
rnacentral:rRNA from 1 species